rnacentral:tRNA from 1 species
AGUUAAUUAGCUUAUAUAAAGCUUUUACUUUGAAAGUAAAAGAAAGAAUCACCUUUUAUUAACUU